GAAUGCCAUUCAUGAGACUCGACGGGCUCUUUGUAAUUUUUUUGUGAUGCUGCCAACAUGAUCCAUAUUCCUCUAGUGUUCCUUCCCCAUCCUUGGGUUGAUGCACAUGCAUACACAGUAUGCCUGUAUUUUGCUCCCUUCCUCCAUUUUAAUAUUUCUCCUCUUGUGGUUUGGAGAACAGAAGCUGUGCCUGCCAACACCCAGGACACUGUGAGGACCUGGAGUUUCUCAUGUUGGGGAUGCCCGGGUCCCAGGCCAGUGGACAGUCAGGAGAACGCAGUGUGUGAAGUGGAUUUUAUCUGCACGAACACAAAGCCAGAGCCCUGGCCAUCAGUGCAGAUUCGCCUCCUCCCUCCUAUUCAUCCCUCCAUCCCGCGCCCUUGCCAAGGGCUCCUUUCUCUGACCCCCGGCUUUCUCUGUUCCCCAGCAUUCGGGGAACUUCAUCCAGCGUGCAUAACCCGGGCCCUUCAGUAAUCAUGCAAACCCAAUUCAAUGACACGAUGCCCUGGCACCUCCGACCCAGCGCCCUGCGGUUUCCGGCUACGCCUCCAGCUGCGUCACUGCCCACGGAUCGACCUGGGUCUGGGUCUCUACUGCGCCUUCUUCCUGAGGAGUCACGCUGAACGGCGAUCAUGCCUGCCCAGCUCAAGCUCCUUUCCUCGCUGUUCAUCCGCAUGAAAUCUCCCAGUCAUCUGCAAAAGGAAUGCUGAGAGGCUUUAUUGGCCUAAAGCACUGGAGAGGGAAGAAGACGACAACCGGUUUCAAAAAGAUAGAAGAGACUUUCCUAAGAUGAAAAACUUCUGAGAACCUUCACAGAUGGUUGCUGUGCCAGGGAGCUCCCAGCAUCUGGCCACAGCGAUUCAGUGCACUAGGGCGGCCGAAGCUGUGGAUGUCAUGCUUUACAAUAAAGUGACCCAAAUGUGAUUA